CUGGCGGCAGGCUUAACACAUGCAAGUCGAACGAUGAAGUCUAGCUUGCUAGACGGAUUAGUGGCGAACGGGUGAGUAAUGCUUAGGAAUCUGCCUAUUAGUGGGGGAUAACGUAGGGAAACUUACGCUAAUACCGCAUACGUCUUACGAGAGAAAGGGGGCUUUUAGCUCUCGCUAAUAGAUGAGCCUAAGUCGGAUUAGCUAGUUGGUGGGGUAAAGGCCUACCAAGGCGACGAUCUGUAGCUGGUCUGAGAGGAUGAUCAGCCACACUGGGACUGAGACACGGCCCAGACUCCUACGGGAGGCAGCAGUGGGGAAUAUUGGACAAUGGGCGAAAGCCUGAUCCAGCCAUGCCGCGUGUGUGAAGAAGGCCUUUUGGUUGUAAAGCACUUUAAGUGGGGAGGAAAAGCUUGUGGUUAAUACCCACAAGCCCUGACGUUACCCACAGAAUAAGCACCGGCUAACUCUGUGCCAGCAGCCGCGGUAAUACAGAGGGUGCAAGCGUUAAUCGGAAUUACUGGGCGUAAAGCGAGCGUAGGUGGUCAUUUAAGUCAGAUGUGAAAGCCCCGGGCUUAACC
rnacentral:rRNA from 1 species